CACACUAAAUCUACAAUAACAUGUUCACAAAAACAUGCAAGCAAGAACAUGUCUUCACCAAACUGUCCGCACUAUCUCAUCCAUAAGCAUACUAAAAUUGAUAGGCAUAGCAAUAUUAUUAUACAGAUCUAUAUUAUAUGUUUUCGCAUCAGUCACCAAUCCACAACUCUAUCAUCCACAACACUUUGCAUCAAUCCACGACUCUUUCGUUCACAAAACUUUUAUUAAUAAAUUAAAAUUUUAAUUUUUUUAGAAAAUAUCAAAGUAUAUAUAUAUAUGGUUAUCAAAAUGUUAUCUACAAUUUUUCUGUCCAUUUGAUAUUGGCUGUUAUCCAUUUGAUGAUAAAUUUAUUAUAUAUGAAUGAUUAUUAGACAUGUUAGGAAAAGAAAAGCUUUAAAAAUUUGUCAUGAAAAAGAUGGAUGAGUUUAAGGAAAUGUUAUGAUAAAUGAUGAAUCAGAUCCUCAAGUCAUCCGUUCAAUUCACAAACCGUCUAUCCCUAACUCACAUGUCCACAGAAUUAGAACUCAUGUC
rnacentral:lncRNA from 1 species